UUUCCGUAGGUGAACCUGCGGAAGGAUCAUUAUUGUAUAACCGAGGUGCGAGGGCUGUCGCUGACCCGAAAGGUCGUGCACGCCCGAGUGCCCUCACACACAUCCAUCUCACCCCUAAGUGCACCACCGCGUGGGUCCCCCUUUGGCUUGUUCGGAGGGGGGCUUACGUUUUCACACAAACUUUGUAUGCAGUGUAGAAUGUUUUUUUGUUUUUGCGAUCACGCAAUCAAUACAACUUUCAACAACGGAUCUCUUGGCUCUC
rnacentral:misc_RNA from 1 species